rnacentral:rRNA from 1 species
CCCCUAGAUGUUCUGGGCCGCACGCGCGCUACACUGAACAGUUCAACAAGUCUUAACCUUGGCCGAUAGGUCUGGGUAAUCUUUGAACGCUGUUCGUGAUUGGGAUAGACCUUUGCAAUUAUGGGUCUUCAACGAGGAAUUCCUAGUAAACGCAAGUCAUCAGCUUGCAUUGAUUACGUCCCUGCCCUUUGUACACACCGCCCGUCGCACCUACCGAUUGAAUGGUCCGGUGAAAUCUCGGGACGGCGGCUUGGUCGCUUGCGUCCGACUGCUGAAACUUUAUUAAACCAUNUNAUUUAGNGGAAGGUGAANUCGUANCA